AGUGAACGCUGGCGGUAGGCCUAACACAUGCAAGUCGAACGGCAGCACAGUAAGAGCUUGCUCUUACGGGUGGCGAGUGGCGGACGGGUGAGGAAUACAUCGGAAUCUACUUUUUCGUGGGGGAUAACGUAGGGAAACUUACGCUAAUACCGCAUACGACCUACGGGGGAAAGCAGGGGAUCUUCGGACCUUGCGCGAUUGAAUGAGCCGAUGUCGGAUUAGCUAGUUGGGGGGGUAAAGGCCCACCAAGGCGACGAUCCGUGGCUGGUGUGAGAGGAUGGUCGGCCACACUGGAACUGAGACACGGUCCAGACUCCUACGGGAGGCAGCAGUGGGGAAUAUUGGGCAAUGGGCGCAAGCCUGAUCCAGCCAUACCGCGUGGGUGAAGAAGGCCUUCGGUUUGUAAAGCCCUUUUGUUGGGAAAGAAAAGCAGCAGGUUAAUACCCCGCUGUUCUGACGGUACCCAAAGAAUAAGCACCGGCUAACUUCGUG
rnacentral:rRNA from 1 species